rnacentral:rRNA from 1 species
GACGAACGCUGGCGGCGUGCUUAACACAUGCAAGUCGAACGGAAAGGGCCUGCUUAUGUGGGGUGCGCGAGGCGCGAACGUGAGUGUAACGUGUGAGAAACCUGCCCUUGCCAUUGGGAUCACUUCAGGACACUGGGUCUAAUACCAGAUAGUAACACCAGCUGCAUGGUGGGUUAUGGAAGGUUUCGGCGGUUGGGGAUGGACUCGCGGCUUAUCAGCUUGUUGGUGGGGUAGUGGCUUACCAAGGCGUUGACGGGUAGCCGGCCUGAGAGGGUGACCGGCCAAAUUGGGAAUGGGAUAAGGCCCCGAACCCUACGGGGGGGAACAGUGGGGAAUAAUGCACCAUGGGAGGAAGACUGAUGCAGAAACGCCGCGUGCGGGAUAUGGGCCUUCGCGUUGUAAACCGCUUUCGCAUGUGACGAGGCGUGAGUGACGGUAAUGGGUAAAGAAGCAACGGCUAACUACGUG